rnacentral:lncRNA from 1 species
AAUUUAAGAAAUUACAUGUGAUGAAUCUCUUGCAUCUUAAAGAGAAUCAAAGUGGUGUUAUUUGAUUUCAAUUUAAGAAAUUACAUGUGAUAAAUUUCUUGCAUCUUAAAAUAAACACUCAAGCAUCUCUACAGUCCGACAAUGGCGGAGAUUUUUUAUUUAUUCUUACCAACAUAAAAUUGAACCAAGUAUUGAGAUAAAUUUCAAACAAAUUAACAAACUUUGAGAAAUUGAAUAAACGAUGGGUGUCUCUGCCAAAUUGGGUGCCUCUAUGGGUAUCUCAAUCUAUUGUGUUUUAAUUCCAUGCGGUGCUUGAUUUUAAAGAACUCUUUUUAUGAAUCAACAUGUGGUUCUUCAAAUUAAAGGAAGACCUUUGUAAAAAAUUCCACAAAGCUUAUCAAUAUCAUGAACCAGAACAGGGAUAGAAUGAAUUGAAUGUCACAGGGAAUGAGAAAAGUUUCAACGCAAAAGAGAGAGAAAGGCGCUAGUGCCAAGGAAGGGAAAAGAA